rnacentral:tRNA from 1 species
GAUAGCUCAGUUGGUAGAGCGGUGGACUGUAGAGGAAAUAUAAAUAAUAGCAGUAAUCCAUAGGUCGCUGGUUCAAACGGUUGUGUCUG